AUGGAGAUCCUCCAACAAGGCACUAUGUUGAUGUUCCCGGGGAUGGAUCUUACGAAAAUGGAUCCUCCAACUCUUACCCUCCUUGGAGCAGCUUGUUGUGUAAUGUUGUCUAUGCAUUUCACAGUACAGCUGGUAUCACAGCAUCUUUUCUAUUGGAAAAAUCCCAAAGAGCAGAAGGCUAUACUCAUUAUAGUGCUGAUGCCUCCGUUAUAUGCUAUAACUUCCUUUGCUGGUCUUCUGGAUAUUAAGGGAAGCAAAACGUUUUUUACAUGUUUGGAGUCUGUUAAAGAAUGCUAUGAAGCACUGGUUAUUGCUAAGCUUCUGGCAUUGAUGUACAGCUACUUAAAUAUAUCUAUCAGUAAAAACAUUGUACCUGAUGAAAUCAAAGGGAGGGUGCUUCAUCAUUCUUUCCCUGUUUCUCUUUUCCUGCCCCGUAAUGUUCGGUUGGAGCACAAGACACUUAAGCUUCUGAAGUACUGGACCUGGCAAUUUGUUGUUGUUAGGCCUGUAUGCUCCAUUCUGAUCAUUGCACUUCAGCUUCUUGGGUUGUACCCCAGCUGGGUCAGCUGGACCUUCACAAUUAUACUUAACUUUUCAGUCUCCAUGGCAUUAUAUGCCUUGGUCAUAUUCUAUCACUUGUUUGCUAAGGAGCUGGCACCUCACAAGCCUCUUGCUAAGUUCUUGUGCAUCAAAGGGAUAGUCUUCUUCUCUUUCUGGCAGGGCUGUGCGUUGGAUGUUUUGGCUGGUGUAGGGGUUAUUCAAUCUCACCAUUUCUGGCUGGACGUGGAGCACAUCCAGGAGGCAAUCCAGAAUGUCUUGAUUAUCCUGGAAAUGGUCAUUUUCUCAGUUCUCCAGCAGUACGCGUAUCACGUUGCUCCGUACAGUGGCGCUGACAAGGUAAAAUUCGAGAAGAAGAAUGAAUGA
rnacentral:rRNA from 1 species